AGGUGAUGAUCUGCUGGGCAGUGAGGGAACAGCAAGGUCUGGCAUGACAGAAAAUGUUCCAGCAGGAAGAUAUGGCAGAGACAAAAGGUCUCCUCGGCUGUGGUGAGUGGAUUGCAUUAUUCACUAUGGAUGAUUCAUGUUAACCCUGCUGUCUUUGGCUGCACAGUGGUGGGCUCUGGAGACCAUGUGCACCACCAUCAUGUUUCUCUCGACUCUGGCUCUAGUACUGCGCCGGCAUUUCAUCAGCCGAGAAAAAACCUUUCCAAAAGACUUGGGGGAGAAUGAGGCGCCCUGUGGGCAAAGCAGCAAAGAUUUGGAGUGAGGCUCAGUGUGUUGCAAGGCAUCCACCUCAGAUAUUUAGGCAGCCUCCAGCAGGGAGAUCAGACUCAGUAGG